CUGACUCUCCUCUCCCUCCUUCUUCGUGACCAGAUUUCCAGUCCCUAGGGACUCUGGAGGUGCAAGAGACAAACCACAACAGCCAGGCACUGAAAGGCAUUGGGAAGACAAUGAAGAAAAAGCAGAGACAUUCCAUAACCUCAUAGAGCUUACAGUGUCAUGGGAAGCCAAGUAGCAAGAUGUUAUAUUCUGUAUGUGAUGACCACAAUUGCUGCAGCCAUCUCAGGAUCAUGAAGGCAAUCAGCCCAAGAGGACAAGAUAACAUGUAAAGUGGCACAGCACAAAGACAGAAGGAACACAGGCCUUGCAAGACGUCAUUAAGCCUGUAAAUUAAUCUACCCUAAACAAUGCCUCUGGCUUAUUUUUAUGUGAAAUAAAAGCAUCCUAAUUAGUUUACAACAUAUAGAAAGUUUCUGA
rnacentral:lncRNA from 10 species